GAUGAACGCUGGCGGCGUGCCUAAUACAUGCAAGUCGAGCGAACAGACGAGGAGCUUGCUCCUCUGACGUUAGCGGCGGACGGGUGAGUAACACGUGGAUAACCUACCUAUAAGACUGGGAUAACUUCGGGAAACCGGAGCUAAUAGCGGAUAAUAUAUUGAACCGCAUGGUUCAAUAGUGAAAGACGGUUUUGCUGUCACUUAUAGAUUGAUCCGCGCCGCAUUAGCUAGUUGGUAAGGUAACGGCUUACCAAGGCAACGAUGCGUAGCCGACCUGAGAGGGUGAUCGGCCACACUGGAACUGAGACACGGUCCAGACUCCUACGGGAGGCAGCAGUAGGGAAUCUUCCGCAAUGGGCGAAAGCUUGACGGAGCAACGCCGCGUGAGUGAUGAAGGUCUUCGGAUCGUAAAACUCUGUUAUUAGGGAAGAACAAAUGUGUAAGUAACUAUGCACGUCUUGACGGUACCUAAUCAGAAAGCCACGGCUAACUACGUG
rnacentral:rRNA from 1 species